rnacentral:lncRNA from 1 species
UUCAACAAGCAACUUCAAGCUUUGAGUAAUUUAAUCAAGAUUCAAUCAAGUAAUCCUUAUUUUGAGUUCAUAUGAUCACCCAUGUGCUUUGAAAUGCAAGGAAAAUCCAAGUACACAAGCUUGUUCUAAGUUGUUUGACCAAAAAGUCAACAUUUUGAAGUCAAAGUUCCAAGGAUCACAAUUCCUUCAAUUCUCAACAUUUUU